GCGGAGUUGAAGAAGCAAGCAGUUCAGAACCAACGCGACAAUGCUGAUCUGAAGAGCGAGCUUGCGAAUGCCGAAGAAGAAGUGCUGAGCUUGAAAGAAGACAACACUGCACUUACUGGGAGAGCUGCUGGGUUGGAUUUGGAUGUACGCUACCAAUCCGACCAGCUUCAAGAGCUCAUCUUCUUCGGACCGACAGUAUUUCCUGCUCUACCUCUGGACUACAUCACGGAUAUUAUGGCGUGGGUAGAGCAGCAUCCUGAGGAGGUCGAGAAGAAUAAGGAAGUUCUCGACAAGAUGAAGGACGAAGCCGCG
rnacentral:lncRNA from 1 species